AGUCAAUUUACCUGGUAAAAUAAUGGAUUAAAAAAAUUAGGGAGAGGCAUGUGUAGCCGAGUGAUCAUAGGGUCCAAUGAGUAGCACUAGGUGAGUCUAGUGCCUCCCCCAAGAUCAAACUGACAUAAAAAAUCUAAUGAAACGCAACCUACCGUGAUCAGAAAUCUCAACUAGCAAGCAAGUCUGGCAGGGGGAGAUUUUCUGCAUAACACUGUUAUCAUUGCUGUCAACUGGAAUGAAUCCUUACCCAGAUCUUACUGUUGUUUUCAUUUGGCAGACUAAGCACUUCUCAUGAGCAUCUGUAUUUUUCCUAAUUCCCGUUCAAGAUACACCUGCCUUGUGUGUUCAUACCGCCUUGUUUUUGAUACAGUUCACAUGCUGACAUUACACAGAAAGGGGAAAAGACCUUUUCUGUGUAAUGUCAGCAUAUGAAUUAUGAAUGAUUUUCCCAAGCAGGAAGCCAUAUCAAAACCAUCUAUGAAAGCUGAAUGUGCCUACACUAAUCCUUUCUGUGCCAGGGAUGAAGUGGUUUUAUGGAAAGAAAACUCAACUGAAAAAUGAGAUAUCUUAACGAAACCAUGAAAACUAUGUUCAAGCUGAAGAUAGCCGACAGGAACCCUCUAGUUCUGCCCCCCUGUUGACACAGACACGUAAACUCACCCACCACGCCUUAUGAAGACUGUGCUAUACAACAUUUGGCACAAAAAGACCAGGUACUCUAUGCUGAAAGUGAUAUGUUAUUACUGUCACAUCAGCCCCUCCAGCACAAGACUAUCAUCACCACAUCAAACGUCAAUGGACAAUGAUAAGACAUAAUGUCAUUACCCAGUUCCAACAGUAAUACACCAGUCAAUCAGGGAUCGUGUCUAUUUGGGAGAAAUAAGGAAGUGUGUUAGAAGGAGUCAGCCAACGGCGACACAGGAGUCGGAACCUAUGACAGCUCAAAGGAGGAGCAUUACCUUACAUUGAAAAGUGCGGGACGACUGCAGGACAGGAGUGACCCGUGGGUAAAGGAUGAGAAUGUGGAAUUUGAUUCAGAUGAAGAGGAACCCUCAUCCCUCCCAUCCUCCCACUGACUCAGAGGGCUGACCAGAUGAGCAGCAGGGACCAGACCUCAACACCAGCACCUUCCCAAAAUCCCUAGCCCUUUCCUCAAACCCUGCUGCUGACACAAAAGUCCCAUUUGGACAUACAUCUAUUGACUCAACAAUUAUGAAUGGCACUCUGUUGCAGUACUGACAACACUAUAAGAGCAGCACUAGAACAUCUUGAACUGCCUCCAUGCUUCCUUUGUUUACUCUAUCUCAGGGUAGACACAUUGGUGCUUGAGACAAUGCUUUGACGGUUGUCACCCUGCGAGGGGUGGGAAGGGGGACGAUUCUCAGCACCCUUUGUGUUAUUCCGUUCGCCCAUUUUAUUUAGGUCCAACACCUCCCCUGUUAAGGCUAAGCUGUGAGAUUACCAUAAAUCAUCAGCAGAUAGGACAAUAUUACUGCUAAUCUUGGUAGUGUAACCACUGGUUAACAUUCUUCAGAAGGUUCUCAUUUGUGGCUCACCCCUAGACCACUCUAUAUAUUGGAUAACCCCCCCCCCCCCCCUAGAGAAAGCGAGCGUGCGGACGUAACGUGGGUUAGUUUAAAACGAUGACGUUAAAAUGUGAAACUGAGUACCUGAUUAUUAUUUGUGAGCUCAUUGCGUGACUGCCACAAGGCGUUUGGAAUGUUUGUUGACUGCAUCGACACAGGAGCUCAACUGUCUUGUGUGUCAUCAAGGCUGAUGAUGUUAUGGAGUUAAAUUGUCAAUGCAGUAAGUCAUGUUGACUCUAUCAUGUUACUUGUACUUUCAGAUGACUAAACAAAACAAUUGUCCUCCACUGCUAACAAUGUCUGUUUGAAUAACCCAGAUAUAAGGGAGAAAAAUAAAGCACCACUUAAC